GAUGAGAACGCAGCGAAAUGCGAUAAGUAGUGUGAAUUGCAGAAUUCAGUGAAUCAUCGAAUCUUUGAACGCACAUUGCGCCUCCUGGUAUUCCGGGAGGCAUGCCUGUUCGAGCGUCAUUAAAAUCACUCAAGCUUAGGUUUACCUAUUGCUUGGUCUUGGAGAUGGAAGCCAAUUUAUUGGAAUCCUCUUCGAAAUUCAAUGGCGAAGACCCUUGCUCUCCCAAGUGUAGUAAUAACUUAUGUCACUGAAGGAAGCGAGAAAUCUUCUGCCGUAACCCCCAUAUUUUCUAUGAUUGACCUCGGAUCAGGUAGGGAUACCCGCUGAACUUAAGCAUAUCAAUAAGCGGAGGA
rnacentral:misc_RNA from 1 species